AUAGUGAUGAGUCCUUCAGGGAUCUUAGAUGACAAGAGGAUGGCUGCAGCACCACUCUCAUCAGCUUCUUUCAGGUCCUAUGGAAGUCUUAGGAAGGUAGCAUCUGAUCUUCAUGAUUUGUUAUCAGUCCUCUUGUAGAUUUUGGUGAAGCUCUUCCAGCAAGGGUUGAACAUUGUCACAAACCUGAUGCUUACAGCUUGAAUGGAAUGAUCUGAAUUACUACCAGAAUUUUUUGAAAUGAAAAAACAAUUCCUCAGAAAGACUAUGGUAUCAAAAAUGAUGUUGUUGAAAAAGAAUCUGGAGCCUGGAGUGGGUAUGUGACUCAAAAGCACUUUGUAGGUAAGUCACCUGUCAGGUAUCUGCAGGUCAUUGCUCCUGAUGUUGCAUUUCUGACUUUAUCUCUUUGUCUCAGUAAAGCUUCCAGUCACGUAGUUGUUUUGUCCCUGUCCAACAAAGCAUCUACAGAAACGUUGCAACCCCACAGAGUGGCUGCAAACAAACCACAAGGGUUUUUUCUAGUCGUGCCUUCAAGAAGCUUUGCUGUAAUCAGCAAAAAGAGCUGAGUGGAGAGGUUUACUUCCAGUCUUUUAGUGUCUGUAGUUACAGCUCGAGUUCCUCUGGGUGUCGAUGGGGUGAGUGAGAGUGAGUGGAAUUCCCAUUUCCCAAAUGGGACAGGAGUCCCGUUCUCCAGAGAGUGCCUGUGCCAUUCGCCGUGCAGGCAGGGGAUGGUGCUGUUGUUCCAAGUAACCUUGUGCAGGUCGUGGUGCUGCUCAAGAUUUCCCUUCUCUCUCGAAUCACUUGCUUAAUAUUUUGGGGGUUUUUUGCACCUCUUUCAGAUUGCUUUCCUCAACCUAAAGCGUGAGUCAAACAAUUGAAUUUUUUAUUAUAUUUUCAGGAUCCUUUAAUAUAAUUUUGUGUGCACUAUGAAAUGAGAGAGACUAGUGAACUUUAUUGGAAACAGAAGCUGGGUUUACACACAUGACAUUUUUAUUAAUGUUAAGCAUUUCCCUUCUGCAGUCUGAGCACAGACAACCUCCAGUAUUCCACCCCAGU